UACCGCUAUGCUUUACGUGAUCUUUUAGUAUUCAUAAAUCUUUAAUGAAUUUUUAUAUGUUCGCAUUCGUCAUAGAAAUAUAGUCGGGUCACAUGUAAAAAUAGGUUUAACUCUACUCGAGAGAGAUUGUUAAACAAAUUAGGAAUAUUAGUCUUCAUAAUUGAAUCGUGUUGUCAAUUUUAUAAAAUUCGGAUUAAAGAGGAUUGAUAUAAGGGGAUUCGGGAUCCUAGUACGCAUUUCGUUAUCAUAUUUUUAUAAAACUUGCAUUUAGUUAUAAUCAAGCGUUUAAUUGAGUUAAUUUAAGCUUUAUAUCUAUAAGUAAGUUAUUAAAUCACACUAUAGUUAGCGAAAAAUCACGAAUUUCUAUUGUUUUGGUUAAGGCGAAGAUAAUUUAAAUUUAAACUAAUACAAUCUCUGUGGGACGAUACUUGGACUCAAAAGGUCCACUUUAUUACUUGAACGCGACCCAUGCACUUGCGGUGUAGGAUUUUAGCGAACAGGCGCCGAGGCAACACUUUGCGAGGAGAAAUUUUACACUCUCUGGACAUCUUUUCUUCGGCCCAACAUGUCUUCUAAUAUCCCUAAACUCCAAAGAACUAUAUAUACCAACAAGAAGACAAGAAUUAGGAGGGAAGAACGAACAGUGUAAACCUGGGAGCUACCGACAAGAACAUAGACCUUGAAUUGGGGAAUUUUUUGGGGCCGGCAAAGACAAAAUUUAGAAGGUAGAAAAAUCUUCAUCAAGAGGCAAGGAAGUUGGCCAACACACGAGAAGAAUCUGAAGGAUAUGGCUAAAGAAUUAAGAAAGAAAUCAAUUGAGAUGGAUUGGCAACCAGUGGAGAAGGAUUGACUUUGCACAAAAAGAGUUUUUCUAUUCCUUUCUUCUCUAUGUGUUUUCUUUGUAUUUUAUUCAUGUCAAUUAUUUCAAUUAUGCACUAAGCUUUAAUUCGAGGUGUUUGAUGUAACUUAUUAAGAUAUGUU
rnacentral:lncRNA from 1 species